rnacentral:lncRNA from 1 species
AUGGUAUAGAGGUUUGGCUUGGAAAGGUUUUUCACCUGGUCACAGACAGAUAAUGUGUUGUGCACUGAAGUCCACAAGAGAAUGGAAAAGGUGACAGGAGGAUAGCGCGUCGAUCGCUGCUAGAAGGAAUUAUAUAUACAAUGAUCAAAGUGACCAUGCUGUUUUUACGAGGCUGCUGUGAAAGUGAACUGAUAAUAAUAAUCCUCCCUCAUCUUAAACGACACCAACCACCACUGAUUCUCAGUGUAUAUCAAUUAAUUGGUGAGGGCACUAGAACAGUCUGCAGCACCUGGCCUCACCCUACUGGACUUGGAAAUCAAAUGACAACUGUUUGCAGAUUAUCUGGUGCUCCUGUACCCAAUCAAGAAGGGCCUACAGCAGCACCUAGAUCUUCUGCACAGAUUCUGUCAGACUUGGGCCUUGACAGUAAAUCUCUGUAAGACAAAAAUAAUGGUGUUCCAAAAAAGGUCCAGUAGCCAGGACAACAAAUACAAAUUCUAUCUAGACAUUGUUGCCCUAGAGCACACAAAAAACUAUACAUACCUUGGCCUAAACAAACAUCAACACCACAGGUAACUUCCACAAGGCUGUGAACGAUCUAAAAAGACAAGGCAAGAAGGGCUUUCUACUUCAUCAAAAGGAACAUAAAACUCAACAUCCCAAUUUGGAUCUGGCAAAAAAUUAUUCAGUUAUAUAACCCAUUGCCCUCUAUGGUUGUGAGGUCUGGUGUCCACUCACCAACCAAUAAUUUACAAAAUAGGACAAACACCCAAUUGAGACUCUGCAAGCAUGAAUUCUGUAAAAAAUACACUUUGUGUACAAAGCAAACCCCAAACAAUGCAUGCAGAGCAGAUUUUAGGACGAUACCCGCUAGUUAUCUACAUCCCCCAAAAGAGCUGUUCAAUUUUACAUCCACCUAACCUAUAAAAUAGUCCCCUCAGCCAGCUGGUUCUGGGGCUCUGUUCACAAAUACACAAACAGACCCCAUAGAGCCCUAGGACAGCAACACAAUGACCUAAGAAAAAAGAUAGGUAUUUGACACACUGAAAAGAAUCAACCAAAAAAACAGAGCAAAUGUGAAUGCUAUUUGGACCUAAACAAAUAGUGCACAACACCUGACCACUGUGACUGACCCUAAAUUAAGAAAAUCCUUGACUAUGAGCUAAGGAAAUCCCCCAGCCAAACCCUCCCCUGACGACGCUGUUGAGGGACCACUUGUCACAUUGACAAAGCAGGAGAGGGUCCUUCAGGCCAUCCGGUGCAUAGACAUCCUGUUCCAGCGGGAGAUGAUCCUUCAGGCCAUCCGGUGCAUAGACAUCCUGUUCCAGCGGGAGAGGAUCCUUCAGGCCAUCCGGUGCAUAGACAUCCUGUUCCAGCGGGAGAGGAUCCUUCAGGCCAUCCGGUGCAUAGACAUCCUGUUCCAGCGGGAGAGGAUCCUUCAGGCCAUCCGGUGCAUAGACAUCCUGUUCCAGUGGGAGAGGAUCCUUCAGGCCAUCCGGUGCAUAGACAUCCUAUUCCAGCGGGAGAGGAUCCUUCAGGCCAUCCGGUGCAUAGACAUCCUGUUCCAGCAGGAGAGGAUCCUUCAGGCCAUCCGGUGCAUAGACAUCCUGUUCCAGCAGGAGAGGAUCCUUCAGGCCAUCCGGUGCAUAGACAUCCUAUUCCAGUGGGAUCCGAGUGUAAGCAUACCAUUUUAGAGACUACAGCACAUCCAGCCUGUGGACGAACAGACAUGAGGCAUGACAUGCGGAACAUCAGGCUCACCCCGCGAGAAGCAGUGCAGGAUCAACACCAUCCUGAGCAAGGAGAUCUGCUGGAAGUGAUGUACUCUCUCACUCUGGGGGUACUGACAGGUGGUGGGACGAGAACGUUGAUCCAGUGCCUCCCACCACCCAAAAAACCCCAGAUUGGAAUAAAACCUCAAGUGCCAACUUCGGGAGCAUGCGGUCCUUGAACAACUCCUCUAGUCCAGCAUUAUGAGUCUGCCAGAGGUUGUCACGCUGGAUAGGGAUGGUGAUGGAGGAUUUGAUGGUCCAACAAAGAAGCAGGUGUCCUUCCAGUGAUGUGGAACUACCUGGUGCUAUUUCACCCCAGACCAACAAAUCAUCGAUGACGUCGACUACUCCAUCCAGGACCUUCAAUUAUCUGUGCCACGGAUCUCUGGAACACCUCAGACGCAGAUGAGACACCAAAGGGUAAACGCAAGAAUCAGAUUCAGAUGGUUUAAUAGUCACAUGUACAGGGUUGCAGGUGUGAUUGCAGGGUACAGUGAAAAUCUUCAGCUUGGAGCUCCAACA